rnacentral:lncRNA from 1 species
CCGAUCAUUCAUCCAUGGCUUUCGUCAACGCCAUCGAAGUGUUCUCUGCUCCAGAUGACCUAGAAAUUCCGUCAGACUCCGACAAGAAUCUGCAUACGGUUUACAGAUUAAACGUAGGAGGCAAGAAGAUCACACCAGAAAACGACACCUUGGGAAGAACUUGGUCAUUAGACGAUGACUUCCUCUACGAAAAAGAUUCUGCGAGGAACAUUAACUCAACACAAAAGCCUAACUAUGAGUCAGGAACAGUGACGCAAUUCACUGCUCCUGAUUUCGUCUAUCAGACAGCUAAAACGAUGAACCAUAGCUCGAACGAGGGGGUGGUAGAGGGAAUGUUGAUGAACGUCACUUGGUCAUUUAAGGUCAAAAGCAGCUCAAGACACUUCAUCAGGGUUCACUUCUGUGAUAUCAAGAGUGAAUCACAAAAUCCCGACUCCGAUUUCUAUCUCUAUGUAAACGGACAAUCACGACUAGAUGUAAAGCCUUCAGAGCGUNNNNNNNNNNNNNNNNNNNNNNNNNNNNNNNNNNNNNNNNNNNNNNNNNNNNNNNNNNNNNNNNNNNNNNNNNNNNNNNNNNNNNNNNNNNNNNNNNNNNAUAUAAAUCAUAAAUAUUAUUUAUUUAAAAUUCUACUUGAAAAGCCUUUAAAUAAAGUAACUUAAACUUGUAUAAGUAGUAUAUUUUAUAUAUAUAAAAAAUAAAUUUGUAACUAAAAAAGUGAUAAUAGAGAUUUUAAUAUUAUGGUGGUUUAUUUUUGUUGUUAAUGGAGAUUUUUUAUUUUUAACCAUAAUAUUAGGAUUUGGAAACUUUUUUGAAUUUUUAAAUGUUGAUAUGGAUGCCUUAAAAAUAAUAUGGCUAAACUGUUAUUAAUAAUAGAAUAGUUUAAAUUACAAAUUUUCCUAUAUUGUUUUGUAUUACCAAUGUAAUUUUAUAAUUUAAAAACUUUUUAAAUUUUAAUUAUUGAUGUAGACUAAAAACAUUGACCUUUUACAUGUUAUGUGGAUGUCUUUGGAAGCAUAUAGCUUCAGCUUUUAUUUUUCUAUAAAUAUUUUUUUUGUUAACAAUACAGUUUUAAAAUUUGAAAAUUUUCUAAAUUUUAGAUAUUGAUAUAAACCAAUAGAAUUGAAAUUUUAAAUCCUAUGUGGACACUCUUAGAGGUAUAUAGCUUCAGGUUUUAUUUGUAAUAUAUUUAGAUAUUAACACUGGAAGAUCCCACACGAGGCCCAUUGCGGUAAGUGAUUUUGGUUUCUCCUCUAUGUUUUGAGGCUUACGGAAUGUAUUCUGAUACUGUUUGAUUCAGCUAAUUGUUACCUUUGUGGUUCAGGUUGGAUUGCUAAACCCUUGUCAGACACCAUGUUAUUCCAAAGAUUUUCCUCGGAUACCUCAGUCUCUUCGCCUUAAUGCAGAACUUCUUUCUCUAUUUCUAGUGGUUCGUUUUUCAAAAAUUUUGGGUAUCAAUCACUUGACAUGUUUCUCGGAUUACUUGAAAUUUAUCAUUCUUCUCAAAUCUGGUGGCAAAACUUUAGAGAUUUUACAGUCUCUUUUUCAAUAUUAAAACAGCUUGUAGUGUCUUUGUUUUCAUCAUAAUCAUUUUAAUUUAGCUAAUAGUUAAACAUAUAGUUUAGUCAAGUUGGUUCUUAAUUUUACAUUGUAAUGAUUCAUUCUUUAGUGAAACCUAUCUCUAUUUUUUUGCUUUUUUAAUUGAAAUGGUUGUACAUACAUAAAAAAAACUUAAAAUUUAUUAUAGUUAUGUGAAAAAAAUUUGGAUGCUAAUGUAGGAGUAUGUAAAUAAAUUUAAAUAUUUUAUUUGUUCUUAAUUAUUUAUAUAAUUGAAACAUCUAACUUAAAUUUAAAUUUUCCUAUUUUAAAAUAUUUAUUUUAUUUUUAUUAUUAUUAAUAUAAAUUAUAUAUAUAAUUUAUUCAUCUUUAAUAAAAUUUUAAAACAAUAAUAGAAUUUAGAAACUUUUUUUAUUUUUAAUGUUGAGGUGGACCAAUAAAAAAUUUAUACAAAAUUUCUUUAUUAAACAAUAAUAUUAGAAUUUGUAAACUUUCUUAAUUUUUUUAUUUAACACUAAUAUUAAAAUUUGGAAAUUUUCUUAAUUUUGAAUGAUGAUGUGGACCAAUAAAAUUCUUAAUUUCCUUAUUUAAUAAUAAUAUUAAAAUUUGUAAAUUUUCCUAAUUUUGAAUGAUAAUGUGGGCCAAUAAAAUUGUAUUUUUUAAUCCUAUGUGAACGCCUUGAAAAGCUUAUAGCUUCAUGUUUUAUUAGUAUAAGAUUAUAUGCAAAUCUUAUAUUUUGCGUCCAUGCUAUGCGUGGAUAUUUGGUCGAUAAAAAUUAUAUUUAUCAAUAUAAAAAUUUUCUAUAUUAAUGUUUUAAUUAUAUAUUUAAAAUAUUAUAAUGUUAAUCUAAUAAUUUUUAUGUAAAUUAUAAGGUUUUAACGGUUUUUUUAAUCUAUAUAUAAUAUGUUAUAUUUCAAAAACGUAUUAUUUGGUCAAACACUUAUAAGUAAAAUUUUACAAAUUAAUCAAAUGCUAAUUUUAAAUAUAGUAUUGACAUGAUGAUAAAAUAUUAUACAUUCACUUUUUUAAAUCAUGAAGAUAUUUUUUUUUAUCAUUUUCACUUUUAUUUCAAUUAUAUAUGUGUUUUUUAAAAACAAUAAAAAUAAUUAUAUUUAAUUUUUUUUCCUUCUCUUGUAAUUAACUAAUAAAUAAAAUAUUUGCUUUUGAGGUUAAUAAUAACUAUAAACUUGAAAUCAAAACAGCAUAUGAAUAUAAAAUGAAUAAAAUCACUAAAAAUUUUUGAAUUAAAUAUAUUUUUGAUAAUUGGUUGUGUAAAAUUUUAAAUAAUUUUUUAAUUAUUAUUCCUCAUCUCUUCUAAUGAGAAUGAAAAAAAAUUUCAUCAUGUUCAUUUUUAUUUUUGUUAUAUCUGUUUUUUUAUGAAUAUGUCAUAUUUGUAUAUUUUAAUGAUUUGUGUAUGACUAUAUUCAGUUUCAUCAUAUUCAUUUUUACUUCUUUGAAUUAUAAUUAAGUAGGCAAAAUCGGUAUAAUUAAAUACAUUUAAUUUUUUAAAAAAAAAAAAAAUUGAACAACUCAAAACAAAGAGUUUCUACAUUAAUCUAUUGCAAUUCCAAGUCGAAUUUUUUUUAAAAAAAGAAAAUUUUGAUUAUUUUUCAGUAAUAUAUUACAUAAUAUUAUGUGAAUAUAUGUAUUGCAUAUGUUAAAACAUUUAUAUGAAUAUAAAUUAUAAUUAUUAGUUAUUUAAAAUUCAAUGUGAAAACCCUUAAAAUCAAGUAACUAAACUUGUAUAAGUAGCAUAUAUUUGUUUUGUAGAUGAUAAAUUAUAUUUGUAACUUAAACAGUGUUAAUGGAGAUUUUAAUAUCAUUUUGGUUUUUUGUGUUGUUAACAGAGAUUUCUUUAUUUUUUAAUUUAUUUUUUAACUAUAAUAUUAGAAUUAAGAGUUUUUUAAUUUACAUUUUUGUUAUAUACAAAUAAAAUUGAUAAUAGAAUAAUAUAACUUUAACUAUUAUUAAUAAUAGAAUAAUUUUAACUAACACUUUUACCUAAAUUGUUUUGUAUUAACAAUAUAAUUUUAUAAUUUAGAAUUUUUUUAAAACUUUAGUUAUUAAUGUAGACUAAUAAAAUUGACCUUUUAAAUCUUAUGUGUAUGUCCUUACAGGCAUAUAGCUUCAAAUUUUAUUUUUCUAUAAAUAUAUUUUUUUGUUAACAAUAUAAUUUUAAAAUUUAGAAAUUUUUUUAAAUUUAAAUAUUAAUAUGGACUAAUAAAAUUAAACUUUUAAAUCAUAUAUGGAUAUUCUUAGAGAAAUAUAGCUUUAAAUUUUAUUAAUAAUAGAUUUAGGAAUCAAACAUGGAGGAUGCCACACAAGGCUCGUUGCGGUAAUUGAUUUUGAUAUUUUCUCCUUGUUUUGAGGUUUACCGAAUGUAUUUGGAUGAUGUUUGGUCAGCUAAUUGUUACUUUUAUGGUUAAAAUUAGAUUUUUAAAAUCCUAUAAAAUGCCAUGUUAUUUUAAAAAAAAUUUUCGGAUAUCUUAGUCUCAUUCGUCUUAAUGACAAAACUUCUUUCUCUAUUUUCAGUGUUUUGUUUUUCAAAAGUAUCGAGUAUCAAUCACUUGACAUGUUUCUUGGAUUGGUUGGAAUUUAUCAUUCUUCUCAAAUUUGAUGGCUAAGCUUUAGAGAUUUUAUGAUCUUUUUUUCAAUAUUAAAGCGGCUUGUAGUGACUUUGUUUAUAUCUUCUUUCAUUAUAUUCUUUGUAAUUUAGCUAAUAGUUAAAAAUAUAAUUUAGUCAAGUUGAUUGUAUUUUUUUGUUUUUGUUAAUUUGAAAUAGUUGCACACAUAGAAAAAUUGGACGCUAAUGUAAGAGUCUCUAAAUAUGUAUGUAUAAAUCUAAUUUAAAUUUAUAUUUUCAUAGUUUAAUAUUAUUAUUUUAGUUUUUAUUAAUAUAAAUUUUAUAUAUGAUUUAUUUAUCUUUAAUAAUUUUUAAAAACAAUAAUAAAAUUUAGAAACAUUUAAAUUUUCAAUAUUGAGGUGGACCAAUAAAAAUUUUAUACAAAAAUUUCCUUAUCCAUCAAUAGUAUUAAAAUUUGUAAACUUUCCUAAUUUUCUUAUUCAGCAAUAAUUUUAUAACUUGUAAAUUUUCCUUAAUUUUGAAUGUUGAUGUGGACCAAUAAAAUUACUCUUUUAAAUCCUAUGUAAAAACCCUUAGAGCAUGGCAGUUUUACACAGGUUCUAAGGUGGGGUUUAUAAGUUUUUUGGAUUUUAAAAAAAUGAAAAAAGCCCAAUAUCUCGUGAACCGGUUCUUGUUUUAGAGUUUUUGGAGACUGUAUUUAGAAGGGUUCAUAAGUGACGUGUCUGCUUCUCAUUCGUUCAACAAGAAAUUUUUUUACGCUCUCUCUCCUCUUCCACUUUCUCUGGUUUUUCGUUUAUGUCGACAUUUAUUUCUCCUCUUCCAACCACGAUUUUUUCUCUGGUGAUUUCAGAUCAUGGGCUAAAAAAAUGAAAGCUUUGCAUGAACCCACUUGAAAAAGAGCUGGGAUUUUCAUUGGAAUCAAAGCAUCACUCUUUCCUCGAUCAUUGUUACAAAUCGAACAGACGGUAAUGCCGGAGGCUCAAUUCCGAGAUAAAUUUGAUCACGUCGAUUUCUUUCUGGUUUGUUACGUGUUUGAACUGCCAAACCAAUUCAUUCAUUAUAUAAAAUCAAAACCGAGAACAUCAUACUUGAGAUCACUGUUCUUCUUUUGCUUCAUAGUUUGUGAAGGAAAAUUAAACAAAAAAAAUUUUAGAUUUCAUCAAACCCAGUUUAAGAACCUCUAAUGAUGUUCACCAUUGGAGGAAUAAAAAACUUUGGAGUUCUAAACCAUUCUUUAAUCAAAAAUAAAUUAUUAAAAAAUAGCUAUGAACCCCAAGAGGAGGUUCACCAUUACUGGUGCUCUUAGAAACAUAUAGCUUCAACUUUUAUUAGUAUAAGAUGUUUUCUCAUUUUUUUAUUUUAAAAUAUAUCUACUGAUCUACAUAUUUGAUUUACUAAGGUUAUUUUCUUAUAACGUAUCUCGGACUUGGAAAAUAUCAUGAAUGUGAAUUCAAAACAUUGAUUUGACAAACUUUUUCUCUCUCGAAGCUCUUUCGCGUGCUUCCGUCUUGGUGGUCUUCUCCGGUUAUGGCGCUCAUCGCUGGACUGUGAGAAGGCCACCCCAAGGUUAGUUUUGUAAUUCGCGCCCAUCAUCGACGGAAGAGGUUCAUCGGCGGUGGAUUUGGAGGCGACCUAUUCUUCUCUGCAGUACUGUGGCAUGGAAAACCAGCGCGACGAGCGGCUGCGGAAGCUUGGUGGCCUUGACAAAGUGGUGUUGUGGAGUCUCAGUGAUUUGUCUCUGAUCAAGGGCGGCGGAGUGUUUCAUUGGAGAUCUUGCCGCAGUUCUAUCGAGGCUUAGAGAGGCAACUUGUUUUCGCUAGUUUGGUGGGUUGGGCCGUUUGUCGGGGACAGUUCUCCUGGUCGACGGUUGGAUCUACCUAAGGAUGGCGGUUCCUCUCGGUGGUGUUGUCAACUUGUCGGAGUCGGAUACUGUUCCUUACCGGAUUGAAGAUGGUGGUUCACGUGGUAAAAAAGAGGAGAUGUGCAUCGCGCGGCGGUGUUGGUUUCGAAGGAAGAGAAAAUCUGUGUGUCGGUUACUGGAUCUGGUGGUAGUCGACGAUUUGGCCGUGGGUUAUUCCAUGCUUUUGGUCAUGUCACUCCGGGAGUAGGAGUAUUCGGAAUCUUGCUGUGAACGGAUCUGGUUUCCGAAAUUGGACAACCUAGUUUCCAGUUCCUUAAAGGCGACGAUAGCUCUGCGCCGUUCUCGCAUACGCUGGAGGAAGAUAUGCAUGGGCUCGAGCUACUUUUCCCAAUCACAGAUUUAAUCUUAACCUAGUCCAUACGCUUUACCUUAGCCUAUUUCCAAGUCUUUUUUCAUUUUUUUGUUCAGGUUUACCACCGGCGGAGAUGUACUGUUCCGAUACCCUUUUAGGAAUUUUAUUAAUAAAAAUAUAUAUUUUUUUAAAAACAUUCAUUUUGACACGUUUCGACAUUUCAUAGUUUAUAAAACUGUCACAUACUCACAUGGUUUUUGUGAUAUGCUUACAACUAAUAAAUGUCUUUGGUACAAUUGUUUUUCAAUUUUUAGUUCUACCAAUUUUUAUUAUUUUUACGAUAAAAGUUAUCAUUUUAAAAAUAUGUUGAUUGUCACUAGUUCAGUGUUUUAUAUGGGAAAAUGGUCAAAAUUAAUCGAACUAAAUUUGAUGUGUCGAAAAAAAUCCGAACUAAAAUACGGUGCUAAUAACUAUCUAAACUCUAAAUAAUUCAAAUUUCCUAUCUGAAUUCUAAUAUAUGUGUCAAAAUCUAUCUUGACUAACUUUGACAUUAGUAACUGUUAAAAAAUGCUAACGAGGCAUGCUGACGUUGUCAUUUUAAUAAAACGAUAUUUUUUUUGUUGUAAAAAAAAUCAAAAACUUAUCCUCUUACCAGAACUUGACUUUUUAAUUUGUAGUUAAAUGUGUGGACCAGUUGAACCGUGAAACAAUAUUAAUACUUUUUACAAACAUAUUUAUAUAUUAUUGAUAUGCUGCAACAUUACAAUCAUGAGACCUAAAGAGAACAAGUAACAUCCCGUGGAUUAUCAAAGCCAUUACAAAAAGUAACCUGUUUGCUCUAUCGAGAUCUAAAGAGAACGAAUUCUCACCCAAAAUCGAUUUUCUCCUUUUGUUAAGCUUCUUCAAUCUCGUUUUUCUUCUACGGUUUUUUGGUUUUCUCUGCCAGAAUUGGUAGAGAGAGAAUGGAGAAGACGAAGUUGUUGCUGCUGCAAUUCUCCGAACUCAACAUCGAACACAGUUCCCGAUUAAUUGCAGCCUCUCAAUGCUCCAACAAUGGAAUUCGAUGAAGAAGAAGAACUCUCUAACCCUAAUUCGAUUUUGAGGGUGUAUUUUAUCCCCAAUUUAAUAUGUGGUCGUUUCGUUAAUUUUUUUUUUCGAGUUUAGACAUAUAUAUCAAUAACAUAUAAAUGUAUUUGUAAAGAAAAUCAAUAAUAUCUCACGGUUCAGUUGGUCAUUGCUUAAAUGGGGUUUACAAUGGCGCAGAUUGAAGUCCAAGGAAUAGAAAAAAUUUAGAUUUUUUUUAACAACGAAAACGACGUCGUUUUAGUAAGGUGACAACGUGUCAUGCCAAGUCAUAUUCUAUCAUGCCUCGUCAACGUUUUUUAACAGUUGAUUAACGUCAAAGUUAGUCAAAGUAGAUUUUAACACAUAUAUUGGAGUUCGAAUAGGAAAUUUGAAUUAAUUUGGAGUUCAGAUAGUUAUUAGCACCGUAUUUUAGUUUAGAUUUUUUUUAGCAAAUUUAGUUCGGGUUGGUUUUGGCCAUUUUCCCAUGUUUUAUAUAUAUAAGAUUUUAUUGGUUCAUGUGUUUCAAAUAAUAUCGAUCUCCAAUCAAAAUCUUGUUCAUUGGAUUAUCGAUGUAAGAAUUAUCGUCAAUAUCUUAUAUUAUUAGUUUAACAACUUAUAUGUACUUGUUGAAAUCUGGUGUCUUUAAUUCAACACAUCGACAACACCAAGAAAAACAAAAAAAUUGUAAUAUCUAAUGGAUCACUUUUUCCUCAUAAUUUUAUCUUUCUUGGUCUUCUCCAUCCUUUCUCUAAAACGUUUGAUCGGUAGAUGGCGGAACAAGUUUAACUUACCUCCAACUCCAGCUUGGUCACUGCCGGUGAUUGGUGAUUGGUGUAGAAAGUAAAUUUUGAGGAGAUAAAUAUUGCAAUAUAAGAAAACAAAUUGAGACAUAGAAAAACAUUUUAUAAAAGCGGAUUAAGGAAAAAUGAGAAAUGGAGGCGAGAUGAUCUCUUUCCUUAAUUCAAAAUAUCUCCCGCAGUGUGGCGGUUAGAUGAGAUAAUGAAUCCCAUGAUACAACCACUGAUAUUCGUAUAAUCGCAGCACCCGAUUAUUGAUAACACCGGAUUUUGACUAUUUUUAUGGAUCAUUUUAAUAUCUUUUACAGGUGUUUUUACUCCAUUUUCAAAGGUUUUCAAAGGAUUUCUAUAUUUUCGGAUUUUAAAAGACUUUUCAGGUAAUGUGGGAUAAAGAGGCACAAAAUAGAACAAAAAGACUCUUUUGGAUAAAUGCAGACCGUCAGAACUUUCAUGGAGAGACGAAGACCUUCUCACCGUCUGAUCACCCUCAAAAUUGGACAACUUAUAGAAGAAUCAACCAGCUUUCAAAUGCACUUAGUUUGGAGACAUUACAACGGUUGGAUCUCAAGAUAUUCCAUUAGCCCCGGAGCCACGCGGAGUCGGCCAGCAACUCACGCGACCGCGGCCAACAAGCUAUUUGCCGCGGUCAGAAGCUUCCCGAUCGCAGCCAACAAGCCAAUUGCCGCGGUCACAACACUCCCGACCGCGGCAUUCAACCUCCGACUUAAAGCCCACUUAUCUGAAGCCCAAAGUCAUUCCCAGCCUCAAUUCCGGAACCCUAGAGACCAUGGAGUAUUGGAGACUAUAAAUACAUGUCAUUUAGGUCGUUUUUAGAGAGAACCCUAGAUACUUUACAGAAACCCUUUUCUUUUAGCCGUUUUUAUGAGAUUUUUGUAGAAGAUUUUUCAAGUCCGAGUUCUUCAAUAGAGAAGCUUUCUUUAUCUCUUUUCUUUACUGUUUUUCAUUACUUUUAUUAAAACCAAUGAUGAUGUCGAACUCAGCCAUGUCUGAGUAGAUCCCGAGUUGGGCUUAGGGUUCCCGAAAGGGGCUCUCAUAAUCGAUUAAAAAAUUAGAGAUUGAUGUGUUUCUAGGGACAAAAGACGAUGACUUGAAAAAUCAACCCUGGUCUUUUCCCUUAUUGUCCCAUUAGAAAUCUCAGUUUUCUCUUCAAUCUUAUCUUCUUCCUCAGAAUCCUCUUCACAUCGACCACAGGUGUCUUCAUCCAUCGACUUAUUGAAAUUUCUUCUAGUAUAAGUUAAACCAAAAUGUGUGGAAACUGACUAUUCAACACAAAAGACUUUUCACUCUCUUCGUUCAACGUGAAUAACACUUCGUAGCAAAUGACUAGAUGGUGAGCCAAGCGAAGCUGAGUGGAAAUGGAGCACUGACUAUAUGUAUAUAAAGAGAUGGCAUGAAACCAAUUUAACCAUCACAAUUUCCAUUUGGUCGCUUCUUUUUCACUAUUGAUUUUCAAGAAAGUUAAAAAUUAGCUUAAAGAAAUAACGAAAGGCUCUUGAAACUCAAUGAGUACCAUUCAUAUUUCUCUUUCUUUUCUCCUCUUGUUCGUUUUUUAUUUUCAUGACGUGUUUGCGUCUCCUACUAGACACUUGUGUCGUCCAGAACAAAGGGAUGCACUUCUCGAGUUCAAGAAUGAGUUUGAGAUUCGGAAGCUUUCUUUUUUUCAGUGUUAUGUUAAUGGUAGCGUUGUUAUUGGAAUGGUAUCAAGUGCGAUGCCAAAUCUGGGGAAGUGAUCGAGCUAGACCUCAGUUGCAGCUGUCUCUACGGCAAGUUGCGUUCCAAUACCUCUGUUUAGGCUUCACAGCUUUUGUUUUCUCACCACUUUAUACCUUUCAUAUUAGGUCCCCAAAUCCCGUUCUCAAUUGGAAAUCUUUCUCUUCUCACUUCUCUCGACCUUUCUGAAUAUGGGUUUUCGGGUCAGAUUCCAUCUUCAAUUGGAAAUCUUUCACAGCUCACCUCGCUUGAACUUUCUUCCAAUCAGUUUUCGGGUCAGAUUCCAUCUUCAAUUGGAAAUCUUUCACAGAUCACCACUCUCCGUUUUUCCUUUAAUCAGUUUUCGGGUCAGAUUCCGUCUUCAAUUAAAAAGCUCUCUCAUCUCGAAACUCUUGACCUCAGUCAUAACAGACUCACUGGUGAAAUCCCAGAUUCUUUUGCCAGUUUGAAAAAUUUGACCGAGUUAAAUGUUAGUUUCAAUAAGCUUAGUGGUAAUUUUCCAAUUUCACUUCUAAAUUCGAUCAACUCACAGGAACGCUUCCUCCAAACAUUAGCUCACUCUCCAACUUGGAGUGGUUUUAUGCAUAUGACAACGAUAUAGUUGGAACCAUUCCUUCUUCUCUCUUCACCAUUCCUUCUUUGACACAAAUUGAUUUGUCAAAUAACCAACUGAACGGCAUUCAUGAGUUUGGGAAUAUACCUUCACCAACAAAGCUAGUGAGGUUAGAGCUUGGCGGUAACAACUUGAGAGGGCCAAUCCCGAGAUCCAUUUCCAAAUUAGUCAACCUCUAUUACCUUGACCUUUCCAAUUGGAACACCCAAUUAGGCCCAAUUGACUUGAGUAUCUUCUCGCAUCUCAAGUCACUCCGAUUUCUUGGCUUAUCCCAUUUGAACACCACCACUACGAUUGACUUGAAUGCCAUCUUAUCAUUUUUCCAGUCGCUUGGAUCAUUGGAUCUCUCAGGGAAUCAUGUUUCAGCCGAAAACAAGAGCUCAGUUUCAGAUCCUCCUUCGCAAAUGAUUAGUUCUUUAAACUUGUCAGGCUGCGGUAUUACCGAAUUUCCAGAGAUCAUAAGAACCCAACAGUCUAUGAGAUUUCUAGACAUUUCCAACAACAAAAUCAAAGGUCAAGUGCCUGGCUGGUUAUGGACGCUACCAGAUCUGGAGUACGUGGAUCUUUCCAACAACACUUUCGUCAGUUUCGAAAGACCAACGAAACAUGGACUAUCCUCUGCCUUUAUGUACUUGUUUGGCUCCAAAAACAAGUCUAAGGUCCCUUGACGUUGGUCAUAACCAACUGGUGGGAAAGCUUCCAAGAUCUUUGAUCCAUUUCUCUGCCCUUGAAGUUCUUAAUGUGGAAAGAAACAGAAUCAACGACACGUUUCCGUUCUGGUUGAGUUCUCUACAAAACCUGCAAGUUCUUGUCUUACGCUCCAAUGCAUUCCAUGGACCGAUUCAUCGAGCCUCCUUCCUUCAGCUCCUUCCUUCGCAUAAUCACUUCAACGGAACUUUGCCAUCGGACUAUUUUGUGAGCUGGAGUAAAAUGUCAUCACUUGGGACAGAGGAAGGUCGCUCAGAUCUAUACUACAUGGGAAAUGCAUAUUACGAAGAUUCAAUGGUCUUGAUGAAUAAAGGUGUACCAUUAGAGCUGGUACGUAUCCUUGAAAUCUACACAGCACUCGACUUCUCCGGAAACAGGCUUGAAGGAGAGAUUCCAAGCACCAUCGGCCUAUUGAAAGAGCUUCAUGUGCUCAACUUGUCAAACAAUGCUUUCACUGGCCACAUUCCAUCAUCUAUGGGUAACCUGACAGCUCUCGAGUCACUUGACGUUUCUCAAAACAAGCUUUCAGGAGUGAUCCCACAAGAGCUAGGGAAUCUCUCGUACCUUGAAGUCAUGAACUUCUCCCAUAACGCAGCCUUGCUCUUCCUUCGAAGACAACCCUGGACUUUUUGGCCCUUCUCUUGACGAAGUUUGCAAAGAUAUACACAAGACAUCAUCGCAAGAGAAUGAAACACCGGAGGAGGCAGAGGAAGAAGACGAAGAGGUGUUUAGUUGGAUUGCAGCUGCAAUAGGAUUUGGACCAGGCAUUGUAUUAGGACUGACGAUUGGAUACAUAUUGGCCUUCUACAAACCGAGGUGGUUCACGAGUCCUUUUGGCCGAAACAAACACAGAAGCAGAAGCACCACAGCUCAUUAAGAGAGGUAAUCUUCUGAAUUUCAUAGAUUAAAGACUAUGUAUAAUAUAACGAAAGUUUCUGGGUUAAUGUAUACUGUAUGUGAAAAUUAACUUUUUACGCCGUUUUUGUUUGUAUAGCGUUCUUAAACCCAAGAUGAAGAAUCUUUGAAAAACAGAAUGAAGCAACCAGACCAUAAGUAGAGAAGAAGCUUGGGGGAGAAGGCAACUCAUUUUAUCAAAGUCUAAAUAUCAGUGAUCGUUUCCGGUUUAGUUUGGUGUGUUUAUCAUAUACUCUGUUUUUAGCCAAUGUUUGUGUUUCUCUGUAAUUGAACAAUGAAAGAAUGUUUACAAAGCUCAAACUUAUUCCCAUUUCUCUGUGAUUGGACAUGAUUUGAGAGAGGUAAUAAUGUUCUUGCUCCGAAUAAAUCAAUCAUUCUUCUGCCAAAUGAAGAACUAAGAUUCAACACACAUCUCAGAAAAUUGAUCCUUUUUCUCUUUUGGUAAUAUUAAUUAGCUGAGUAAAAUGAUAACUUAAUUAGUUUAUUGAAAGAUAUUUCACUGAGAAAUAUAUUAGUUAGUGGCGAUCAGGAUCAGCGACCAAUUAAAGCUAUAGAUAUAGUUGCUUAAAACCCAAGCUUUGCCAUUACAAUGAGGAAAAAUCAUCUCACAAAUCAUUCCACUUUCCAACUAAUGAAACUCUACAAUAGUCAAAUGACUCAAAUCGGAAUUAGAAAGUAUACAUACACACAUAAUUUAAGGUCACAAUGACAAAAUCUUCGGUCUUACCAAUAAGAGUAUAAGUAUUCAUCAAAAGACAUCUUCUAAAAUGGAUUAUAUUAAAAAAAUUUGGUGAAAACAAACAAGAAAUUUUUACUGCUUAAUUCUUUUUGUUUUUAAAAACCAAAAGGUAAAUGGAAGUCGCUCUAAUUUUUACUUAUAAACCAAAACAAGAAAUUUUCAGUUAUAUCGUUCUAAGAUAAUGCAAUUGAUAGUAUAAUCUAUACUACUCUAUACUCCACUGAUACUUUUUCGUUUUUAAGCAGACAACUUUUCAGAGUACAAAUCUUUUGUUAUUUUUAUUCCUGGGAGAUGUAUAUCCUAUAAACAAAACUGUGUUAAAUGGAAGGACUUCAUGGACACCAAAACCAGAGGAGAAACGAAGACAGACGGUUUAGAAAUAUUUUGAUCACAUCAAAAAAAUAUAAUUCGAUAAUUUUUAUCAGAUUACAGCAUCACAAAGUCAGUGCAAAAUCAUAUAAAAAAAAUUCGAAUAAAGAAAAAACGUAUCAUGCCAAACGAAACCAAACAAAUAAAUAGAUAACAGUUGACUGACCGAGUCAGUCAUGGACAAAAACGAAGACUUGAAAAGUCAACUCCGGUCUUCUUCCUUAUUGUCCCACCAAUAAUUUACUUUUUUUCCUUCAAUCUCAUCUUCUUCCUCAAUCCUCUCAACAUCGAUCACAUAUUUCUUCAUCCAUUGACCUCAAAAACUUGAUUUUCACUAUUGACUCUCUUUCUUUCUCUCUCUCUCUAGAUUUUCCAACAAAGCUAUGGAGAAACUCUGUUUUCGAAACUCAUUUUCUCGCUUUAUGACGACUGUGGUCAUUGUUCUUCUUCCUCGUUGCACUCUUUCUGCUACUUCUACAUAUUCUCAUCGUCCCGAGAAGUUUUACGUCAACUGUGGGUCGGAUUCUAUUGUCACUUAUGGUGGUCGGACCUUCGUCGGAGAUAUGAUCUCCGGUGGUAACUCCGUUUCUUUCAACAGUAAAGGAACUGAAGCCAUCAACCAAUCAGGAUCAGGAAUCUAUGAAACGGUUAGGAUAUUCAGACGCCCUUCUUCUUACAAGUUCCAACUCGAUUCCAUUGGUCUGCACUUCGUGCGUCUCCAUUUCUCUGCUGUCUCUUCUCGGACAGAGCUUUUAACUGCUCGUUUCACAGUCUCAGCUACUUCUCACCUGAAAAGUUUCUCGCUUCAGAAUUUCAAUGAGACCCCACGAGUUGAGGAGUUUCUCCUGAUGAUUGACUCGCCAGAAUUCGAAAUUCGAUUUGUGCCCUAUCAUUCAUCCAUGGCUUUUGUCAACGCCAUCGAAGUGUUCUCUGCUCCUAAUGACCUCGAAAUUCCGUCAGACUCCGACAAGAAUCUGCAUACGGUUUACAGAUUAAACGUAGGAGGCAAGAAUAUCACACCAGAAAACGACACCUUGGGAAGAACUUGGUCAGUUGACGAGGACUUCCUCUACGAAAAAGAUUCUGCGAGGAACAUUAAUUCAACACAAAAGCCUAACUACGAGUCAGGGACAGCGACGCCAUUCACUGCUCCUGAUUUUGUCUAUCAGACAGCGAAAACGAUGAACCAUAGCUCGAAUGAGGGGAUGGCAGAUGGGAUGUUGAUGAACGUUACUUGGUCAUUUAAGGUCAAUAGCAACUCUAGACACUUCAUCAGGGUUCACUUCUGUGAUAUCAAGAGUGAAUCACAAAAUCCCGACUCCGAUUUCUAUCUCUAUGUAAACGGACAAUCACGACUAGAUGUAAAGCCUUCAGAGCGUAUUAGGUUGGUGACUCCGUUUUUCAAAGAUGUGAAUGUCUCUGAUGGUUUUGGACUCUUGAAUGUUACAAUAGGUACUAAGGAUUCCACUAAGGAUGCUGGUUUUCUGAAUGGUCUGGAGGUGAUGGAGUUUUUGAAAAAGUCAGAUUCUUCAGAUAAAAGUAGUUUCCGGGUUUACAUCAUCGCUGGCUGUGUUGUUGCUGCAUCGGUUCUGGUAUUGAGUUUGUUGUUCACAGUUUUCUUGAAGCGGAGGAGAUCGAAGAAGGAGAAUAAGUCAGACGCUGAGGUCACUGAAUGGUCUCCUUUGCCAUUGUACAGAGGUGGUGGGAGUUCCGACAAUAGACCUUCUGAUCCGGUCAACAAUUCUCCAUUACGCAGCAAUAGAACUUUUGAUCCGGUCCAUAAUUCGCCAUUACGCAACCUAAACUUAGGCUUGACCAUUCCCUUCAUAGACAUUAUGAGAGCUACAAACAAUUUCGAUGAGCAGUGGUUGAUCGGGAGAGGCGGUUUUGGAGACGUUUACAAAGCCAUUCUUCAAGAUGGAAGCAAAGCGGCUAUCAAGAGAGGCAAGAGUGGUUCAGGACAAGGACUAUUGGAGUUUCAAACAGAGAUUCAAGUCCUGUCGAGAAUCCGGCACAGGCACCUCGUUUCUCUAACGGGUUACUGCGAAGAGAACUCGGAGAUGAUCCUUGUCUACGAGUUUAUGGAGAAAGGUACGCUUAAAGAGCAUCUAUACGGCUCGGAUUUGCCUUCACUGACAUGGAAACAGAGACUAGAGAUUUGCAUCGGAGCAGCUAGAGGUUUGCAUUAUCUCCACAGUGGCUCAGAAGGAGCAAUCAUUCACAGAGAUGUCAAAUCCACAAACAUACUACUAGACGAGAACACCGUAGCCAAAGUCGCGGAUUUCGGGCUCUCAAACUCGCGGUUCGUAAUCAAGAUCCAAUCAAUAUCAGCACUAACAUCAAAGGAACAUUCGGUUACCUCGAUCCUGAGUAUCUGCAGACACACAUCUUGACGGAGAAAUCAGAUGUUUACGCUUUCGGAGUCGUUCUCCUCGAGGUCCUGUGCGCGAGAUCGGCUCUCGAUCCUUCUCUUCCUCACGAGGAAGUGAAUCUAGCGGAGUGGGCGAUGUUCUGCAAAUCCAAAGGGAUAAUCGAUGAGAUCUUAGAUCCGAAAUUGAUAGGUCAGAUCGAGCCGAGUUCGUUGAGGAAAUACAUGGAAAUCGCGGAGAAGUGUUUGAAAGAGUACGGCGACGAGAGGCCGAGCAUGGGGGAUGUGAUCUGGGAUCUGGAGUAUGUUCUUCAGCUUCAGAUGAUGCCGAUUCGCAGAGAGCCUCACGAGGAUAGCGCCGCGACGAUCUCCGGCGGCGGAGGCGAAAGCUCGUUGGUGAUUCCGAGGUUGAUGGUGAGUGAUUCGUUUAGCUCAAACUCGAUUGUUCAGAAGAACGAAGGGAAGAGUAGCUAUGGAGGUACAGAUUCAUCGGAGAGUCGAGUUUUCUCCCAAUUGAAGAUCUCCGAAGCAAGAUAAAAUUUCCUAUGAAACAUUCUGAUUUGAAAAGCGUCUGGUUUAAAGCUUUUGAUAUUAAAAACCGGUUAUUGCCGGUUUAAAUAUAAUCAUUUUAAAACAUAUGCAAAGUAACGAGUCAAUUGAAUGUAAUAUAAAAUUAAAACCCGGUUAUCGUCGGUUUAAAGUUAAUUAUUCUAAGACAAAUGCUAAUUUCCGAAUCGAAAAACAAUUCAAUUUAAUUAACCGAUAAAAACCUAAUUUCAAGAAAAGUUCUGAUUUGAUAAGUGAUUGGUUUAAUUUUUGAAAUUGAAACCCGGUUCCUGCCGGUAUAACGACUCAGCUGUUUGUGAUGUCGGCGAUGAACGAGUCCAGAUUCCGAGCCGAUGAUCCACCAGACGCCAACGCCGAUCUCGCCGCGUGCUUCAGCUCCGUCACUCUCCUCCUCAUAUCCGCGGCGGCAGAUCCUUCCCUCACGGCCUCAAUACAUCUCUCCACCUCUUCAACCUUAAGCUCUCCGUCGACAGCGUCGUUCCUCAUCCUCACUCCGAUCCCGAACACAUCCACAAGCAAUCUCGCGUCAAGCGGCUGAUCAAUCCAGCUCGGGUACGCCACCACCGGAACACCAGUCACCACCGUCUCCAUCGUCGAGUUCCAUCCACAGUGCGUGACGAAACAAGAGAUCGCCACGUGACUCAGUAUCCACUCUUGUGGACCCCACUCAAUCACAAUACCUUGACCUUCUCUAACCAUCUCCUGCAAAACGUCGACGUUUUCGCCUUUCUCCUUUGGCCUAAUCACCCAGAGAAACGAAACUCCUCUGUUUCUCAGAGCCGUUGCUAUGCUCUUAACUUGAGUCUCCGAAGAUUUCAGCAAACUUCCAAAAGAAAUGUAAACAACCGAAGACCUAGCUUGCUUGUCAAGCCACUCCAUACAAUACUCAUCCGAUUUCCACAUAUCAAGAUUUUUACCAUCUAGGGUUUUGUCUUCUUCAUCAGCUCCCAACAGAAAUGGAGAAACCAGAGGACCAAUUGGGAUCAUGGGUUUUAAACCAGACAUCGAUUCGAUUAUCUCUGAUUCGAGCUCGUAGAACGAAUUAACCAAAACCCAUUUCACAUCUUUCAAGCAAUCGACGAACUCCACCAUUAGGCUAUUGAAAUGACUUCCUGAAGAAGGCAAGAGAAACGAAGGGAGAUCUCCAACUUCCAACAAUGGUAAACCUGGCAAUUCAACCGUUUGAUUCAAAUCUUCGAGAUUCUCAGGGAAAGCAUUCGUCUUCAUGUAGUAACGGUAAUAAACCGAGAAAGCUCCACAAGCUUCGAUCCAGAGGAUUGCACAGGGGAUGUUAUAUGCAGCUGCAACACUUGGAACCCAUGGAGCAAAAGGCACAGUGACGAUGCAAGAGAAUCUCUUUGAUUCGACGAUUUUAGACAAGUUCUUGGCUCCGACUUUUUUCAACGAUGGUAUGAGAGAAUCUGCGGCUCUUGUGUGGUCUUUAGGCAGACCGUCGGGGAAGAAAGCAAGGUCCACUGGGCUACGGUGAUGUUCUUCGGCGGCGGUGGUGGUGGAGAGGAGGUCACGGGUUUUCUCGGUGGUAGCGAGAGUGAAGCUAAGGUUUGGUCGUGAGAGAUGUUUGGCGAAUUUGAGCAUUGGAUUAAGAUGACCUUGAAAUGGUAGUGCUACCAAUAGAACAUGUGUUUCUUGACCCUCACUAUUUCUCAUUUCUGCUUUGUUUAGAGGUGUUACUUAUUAGACUUGAGUUGUGUAUGAGAUUGUGUGUAACUUGUAAUUGUGGUGGUAUAUAUAACAAUGGUUGCUUAACGAUAGAUUUUUGCUUAAAAUGAAGUUAUUAAGUGAGAUUUUGGUAAGAAAAAUCUAUAUAUAGUAAAAAUUGGUAACCCAAUAAAAUGUAAUAGAUUCAAAAGUUACCACGUUUAUUAGCACCCUGCGCCUUGUCCUUAACUCAAUUCAAAUCUUGUAUAAUUGUUGACCAAAAAAACACGAUAUAUAUACCAAUUCUAGUAUGGUUAAAGUCAACAGUCAUUACUAAUGAUUUAUGAAUCUUUUUGUAUAGUGUGACACUGAGAUCAUUGUAAUUUGUUAAUGACAAUCUAUAAACUGUAAUUGGUAAUCCAAUAAACGUUGGUCAAUAAAUUCAAAUUUAAUCAUGUGUUUCUAUGCUCUUGUAAAUAAAUAAAUAUAUGUUAUUUUCAAUUGUGUUAUGGUUAUGAUUAGAUUUAUAUAAAAAAUAUGGUUAUGAUUAGAUUUAUAUAAAAAAAAACAGGUCUCAAUUCAUUCGGAUCAGUCUCGUUUGUAUCUGUCUCACUUUUAGAUUUGAAAUCCGUUAAGCUCUAUUUAGUUUUUGGAACUAACAGAGUAAUCGGUUUAUACAUGCCAAAAUUCUUUUAAUCUAUUUAAAACCAUUUACGAUAUGAUGCUUAAACAUUCUUAAUAUUUAUUUUAAAUUAUAUAAACUAAGCUUUUGGAAGCUAAUCAGAAGCUAACACACCAGUAUAAUUACCAUUGUUUUUUUAUUAAAUAAUAAUUACCAAUGUUUCAAGGCAUGCUUGAAUAUUCCACUAAGAAAAAUCAUCGAAAUUGUUUAUACUAAUCUAAAAUCCUAGCAAAGGUGGGUGAAUCUUUUUUUUUAAAUAGUUAUACAUAUUUUCGAGAUGACAAAAUUUAACAAUAUGAUAAAAUCAUAUGAACACUCGAACAUUUAUGUAGAUUUUAGUUAUGUUAUAUAUCCAAGAAGAAAUGAAUAAUAUUAAGUAACAUCUAUUACAAAUAACAUAUCAAUUGGUAACAUCAGAUGGCAAAUCAAAUAACAUCAUUACGUAGUAAAUUCAUGUGCAUGCGUUACUAGCUAAGCUUGUAUUCACUUUAUAAAAGAAAAUACAAAAUAGCAAUAGCAAUAAUGAAGGGAAGAGCAGCUACGGAGGUACAGAUUCAUUGAUCGAAGAGUCGAGUUUUCUCCCAAUUGAAGAUCUCUGAAGCAAGAAAACAAAUAAUCUCUUGAAUCCUUCUGAUUUAAAUACCGACUGGUUUUAACUUUUGAUAAUAAAAUCCGGUUAUUGCCGGUUUAAAUAUAAACAUUUUUUUAAGUCGACAAAAAAAAACAUUUCAAAACAGAUGUAAAGUGAGUCAACACUAUGAUCGAUGACUUUCUAGUUGAUGAGAAACGUGCACAAAAAGAAAAGGGUAACACUAUGAUCGAUCACUUGCUUUCUCUCCAAGAAACUCAACCAGAUUAUUAUACGGAUGUCAUCGUCAAAGGACUCAUAGUUGUAAGUAUUGAGGAAUACAUUUAAUACAUCACUAACAACUAACAAGGCUAACUAAGCUUUUUAUAAUGACUAAUUCUUGACUUCUAUUUGGAUAGGUUAUGAUAUUUGCCGGAAAUGUAACAAGAACGUUAGAAUGGGCGAUGCUAAAUCUGUUGAACCAUCCAGAAGUACUAAAGAAAGCGAGGAUUGAAAUCGAUACAAACAUUGGUUUGGACAGGUUAAUAGAUGAACAGGAUGCGAAAAGUCUUCCUUACCUCCAAUGCAUCAUAUCAGAGAUUUUUCGACUUUACCCGGCAGCUCCUUUACUUGCUCCUCAUAGGGCUACAGAUGAUUGUAUAGUUGGAGGCUACGACUUCCCUCUUGGCACGACAUUAAUCGUGAACGUAUGGGCCGGCCAUUCACCGAGACCCAAACAUAUGGUAAGAGCCAGAAAAGUUCAAGUUAGAGCGGUUCGAGAAGAAAGGAGAAGAACAAAAGUUGAUGCCGUUUGGAAUGGGACGACGAGCUUGUCCCGGGUCUGGUCUAGCUCAACGGGUCGUGAGUUUGGCUCUCGGAUCGAUGAUUCAAUGUUUUGAAUGGGAGAGACUUGGAGAAGAAUAUGUUGACCUAAGCGAAGCAACCACAAUGCGUCCAACGACGCCGUUGCUAGCCAUGUGUAGAGCUUGUCCUAUUGUUCAUAAGAUUUUCAAUACUUCUUUUUGAGAUGUCACUCCCUUUUUAAAAAAUAUGUAUAUCCAUUUAUGUUAUAUCCAUUUUGAGAUGUAAUUAAAAUGAAAGACAAAGACUAGUCUUUGAUUUGCCUUAAGAUUUUCCAUUUUAUUAAAAUUCAAAAACUAUUUUUUUUUUUCAAAAACCAAAAUUUAGAAGUUAAAUGCUACUCCAUUAUCAAAUAAACUCACUUCUAAAUUUCUAUGAAUGAGGAGUAGUUUUUUACUUUGAGAAAGUGUGAAGAAAUUUUUCCAAUUUCUUAGUUUUUGUUUGUUUUUUUUUGAGAAAGGGUUAAGAAAAGGGAGCUUGUUUUAUAAUGGAAUCUCUCAUGCAAUUAUUCCCACCUGUCACUAGAGAUAUGUUCGUAACUUCGUAACGUCUCAUGCAAUUACUGACUAAUAAACAUGUGUGAUAAGUCACCAUUAAUAUUUAUUGUCUAUUUCUUUUGCUUUUAAUUAUUAGGGUUUUGAGUAGAAAUUUGUUUCUUUCUAAUAUUAUAGACAAUAUAUAUUGCUAGCGUUUACGUUUUUUAUUUUGGUUCAAAACAUAGUGGUUAAAAAUAAACAAAUCAUAAAUUUUUAUUAUUAGUCAUUAAUGAAUGAGAGACGUUACGAACAUAUCUUUAGUUUAUUAAAAAAAAAAAAAGAUAUCUUUAGUGACAGGUGUGAUAAUUGCAUGAGAGUUUUCAUUAUAAACUAAGCUACAUAAACUAAUAACUCCCACGUUCGAUUCAACACAUUUACAACAAGAAGAAGUUCUUGAUCUAAAAUGGAAACUUAUUUUCUUAUUUUAUCCCUCGCCAUCUUCUUUUUCAUUUCUCUUAAACUUUUGUUUAAUAAACCGCAUAACAAGUUUAACCUACCACCAAGUCCGGCGAGGCCACUACCGUUGAUUGGACACCUUCACCUCCUGAAGCAGCCUCUCCACCGCACAUUCCUAUCUUUCUCUCAAUCCCUCGGCAGUGCCCCAAUUUUCUCCCUCCGUCUUGGAAACCGUCUCGCGGUUGUCGUCUCCUCCUACUCCAUCGCAGAAGAAUGCUUCACGAAAAACGACAUCGUUUUGGCUAACCGACCAGAGUCCAUAGUCGGGAAAUACAUUGAGUACAACUUCACCACUGUGACCAGCGCGCCUUAUGGUGACCACUGGCGAAACUUGCGGCGUCUCAGCACCCUCGAGAUCUUCUCCUCGCACAAGCUCAAUGGCUUUAUAUCCGUCCGUAAGGACGAGAUCCGACACUUGCUACUUCGUCUCUCCAAAAACUCGCAACAUGUAUGUGAGCUUCUACAUAUUAGUACUCUAUGACUAUAUACAUUAUCAGAGUUUGUAACCUAGUAGUUUGUCUUAGUGUGGCCUCUAGGUCAUAACCUAUAUAUAUACAUUACUUGAAGAUCUGCUCAGAGUUUGUAACCUAGUAGUGUGGCCACUAAAUUAAAAGUCAUAACUUGAGUACCAUGCAACAAAAGUUUGAGAAUUAAUCAUUUGUUUAUUUGAUAAUAAAUUAGGGGUUUGCCAAGGUGGAGAUGAGAUCAUUGUUUAUGGAUUUGACUAUCAAUAACAUUCUCAGAAUGAUGGCUGGGAAAAGAUUUUAUGGUGAUGGAACAGAGCAAGACGACAAUGCACGGCGAGUGAGACAGCUUAUUGACGAGGUGGUAUCCUACGCCGGCGCCGGGAAUGCUACCGAUUAUAUCCCAAUCUUGCGUUGGAUCACAAGUUUUGAGAAACGGGUCAAGAACUUAGCGGGUCGGGUCGAUGAGUUCUUGCAGAGCCUGGUGGAUGAAAAACGUGCGGAUAAAGAAAAGGGCGACACUAUGAUGGAUCACUUGCUUUCUCUCCAAGAAAUCCAGCCUAAUUAUUACACAGAUAUCACUCUAAAGGGGAUUAUAGUUGUAAGUAUUUAUUUUCUACAUUUAUUAAUCUUGAAUAAUCUAUUUAAUAUAUAACAACACAAACUAAACAUUUGUUAAUUUAAUUUUUACAGGUUAUGAUACUUGCCGGAACUGAAACACUAACAGGAACAUUAGAAUGGGCUAUGUUGAAUUUGUUGAAUCAUCCAGAGGUAUUAACGAAAGUAAGAACCGAAAUCGAUACCAAAAUCGGUUUUGACCGGUUAAUAGAUGAACAAGAUAUUAAAAAGCUCCCUUAUCUCGAAGGGAUUGUGUUGGAGACCUUACGUCUCCACCCUGUAGCUCCUACACUUGUUCCACAUAUGACGUCAGAUGAUUGCAUGUUGGCCGGAUACGAUGUUCCAAGUGGAUCCAUGCUAUUGGUGAACGUAUGGGCCAUGCAUAGAGACCCGUCUCUAUGGGAAGAUCCAGAAAUGUUCAAGCCAGAGAGGUUCGAAAAUGAAAAUGAAAAUCAAAAGGUGUUGUCGUUUGGGAUUGGACGACGAUCAUGUCCCGGGGUUGGAUUAACUCAUCGGCUAGUGAGCUUGGCUCUUGGAUCGAUGGUUCAAUGUUUCGAAUGGGAGAGAAUUGGAGAAGAAUAUAUUGACACUAGAGAGGCACCUAUGAUGCGUCCAACUACCCCGUUGCAAGCCAUGUGUAAAACUUGUCCCAUUGUCCAUAAGAUUCUCGAUGCUUAUGCUUGAAUUGUAACUCUUCUUGGUUUGAUUUAUGUUCGGAAAUACUACAUCAACUUGUUUUGAGUUGGGAAAUAAUUCAAAAUCCUUCUAAGAACGCUCUCAUGCAAACUGUUGAAUGUAUCUUCAAGGUUCUGAUCACCAUCUAGCUGAGUCUUUACGGAAAAUUAGAUCGUCACUAAAUAUUAUCAUUUUACCUUCGAAUAUAUUGAUUUUGUUGCCCUGAUGAUACACUUGAAAUAAAUAAAAAACAACCAUAGAGACACUCAAAUAAAAAAAAAGCUCAUAGCUUUAAAAUUUCUUGUAUAUUUUGAAACUAAAAUUAAGCUAUAUUACUUAUACUGAUAUUCCAUUUCUUCACAGUAUGAUCUAAUGAUUUUUGCAAUCCUCUAUGCUUUUGUUGUUGCAAUUAUACUUAUAUCUCCAUUUCAUUACAGUAUGAUAUAUAUAUAUAUAUAUAUAUUGUAAGUUUUGCAAUCCUCUACAUAUCAUUCUUCCCACAGCUCUAUCUGAAAAUUCCAUAUAUAUGUUCAACUUAUCUCUCUUCGUGUGUUGUGAAUUGUGUAUUAGAUUUGAGUAUUACAUUUGUACUUUUACAAUUCUUUUUUUUUUUUAUAAUCUUGAAGUGCUCUAGGAAUUAUAAUUAUUAUAUCAUGUUGGAUUUUUAAGAAUUUUGGUUUUUAUGAUAUUUUGUAAAAAAUUAGAGAGUGAUGUGUUUCUAGGGACAAAAGACGAAGACUUGAAAAAUCAACCCUCGUCUUUUUCCUCAUCGUCCCAUUAGAAAUCUCAGUUUUCUCUUCAAUCUUAUCUUCUUCCUCAGAAUCCUCUUCACAUCGACCACAGGUUUCUUCAUCCAUCGACUUAUUGAAAUUUCUUGUAGUAUAAGUUAAACCAAAAUGUGUGGAAACUAUUCAACACAAAAGACUUUUCACUCUCUUCUUUCAACGUGAAUAACACUUCGUACGAAGGACUAAAUGGUGAGCCAAGCGAAGCUGAGUGGAUAUGGAGCACUGACUAUAUGUAUUUAAAGAGAUGGCAUGAAAACAAUUUAACCAUCACAAUUUCCAUUUGCUCGCUUCUUUUUCACUAUUGAUUUUCAAGAAAGUUAAAAAUUAGCUUAAAGAAAAAACGAAAGGCUCUUGAAACUCAAUGAGUACCAUUCAUAUUUCUCUUUCUUUUCUCCUCUUGUUCGUUUUUAGUUUUCAUGACGUGUUUGCUGCUCCUACUAGACACUUGUGUCGUCCGGAGCAAAGGGAUGCACUUCUCGAGUUCAAGAAUGAGUUUGAGAUUCGGAAGCCUUCUUUUGAGUGUUAUGUUAAUGGUAGCUAUGUGCGCCCUUACCCGAAGACGGAGUCAUGGGCAAAUAACACUGAUUGUUGUUAUUGGGAUGGGAUCAAGUGCGAUGCCAAAUCUGGGGAAGUGAUCGAGCUAGACCUCAGUUGCAGCUGUCUCUACGGCAAGUUUCGUUCCAAUACCAGUCUGUUUAGGCUUCACAGCUUUCGUUUUCUCACCACUUUAUACGUUUCAUAUAAUGAGUUACAUGGUCAAAUCCCGUUCUCAAUUGGAAAUCUUUCUCUUCUUACUUCUCUCGACCUUUCUUCCAAUGGGUUUUCGGGUCAGAUUCCAUCUUCAAUUGGAAAUCUAUCACUGCUUACCUUUCUGAGACUUUCUGAUAAUCAGUUUUCGGGUCAGAUUCCAUCUUCAAUUGGAAAUCUUUCACAGAUUACCACUCUCCGUUUUUCCUUUAAUCAGUUUUCGGGUCAGAUUCCGUCUUCAAUUGGAAAUCUUUCACUUCUUACCUCUCUUGAUCUUUCUUCCAAUCAGUUUUCGGGUGAGAUUCCAUCUUCAAUUGGAAAUCUUUCACUGCUUACCUCUCUCUAUCUUUCUUUCAAUCAGUUUUUGGGUCAGAUUCCAUCAUCAAUUGGAAAUCUUUCACUGCUCACCUCUCUCCAUCUUUCUUAUAAUGGGUUUUCGGGUGAGAUUCUAUCAUCAAUUGGAAAUCUUUCACUGCUCACCUCUCUUCAUCUUUCUUAUAAUGGGUUUUCGGGUGAGAUUCCAUCCUCAAUUAAAAAUCUUUCACAGCUCACCUUUCUCAAACUUUCUUCCAAUCAGUUUUCGGGUCAGAUUCCAUCUUCAAUUAAAAAGCUCUCUCAUCUCCAAACUCUUCACCUCAGAUAUAACAAAUUCACUGGUGAAAUCCCAGAUUCUUUUGCCAGUUUGAAAAAUUUGACCGAGUUAGAUGUUAGUUUCAAUAAGCUUAGUGGUAAUUUUCCAAUUUGGCUACUAAAUUUGACAAAGUUGUCGUAUUUAUCACUCGAAUACAAUCAACUCACAGGAACGCUUCCCUCAAACAUUAGCUCACUCUCCAACUUGCGAUAUUUUUGGGCACGUGACAAUGAUUUCGUUGGAACCAUUCCUUCUUCUCUCUUCACCAUUCCUUCUUUGACAAGAAUUUAUUUGUCAAAUAACCAACUCAACGGCACUCUUGAGUUUGGGAAUAUAUCUUCACCAACAAAGCUAGAGUGGUUAGAGCUUGGCGGUAACAACUUGAGAGGGCCAAUACCGAGAUCCAUUUCCAAAUUAGUCAACCUCCGGGGACUUUACCUUUCCAAUUGGAACACCCAAUUAGGCCCAAUUGACUUGAGUAUCUUCUCGCAUCUCAAGUCACUCGGAUUUCUUUACUUAUCCCAUUUGAACACCACCACCACGAUUGACUUGAAUGCCAUCUUAUCAUUUUUCAAGUCGCUCGAAGGAUUGGAUCUCUCAGGCAACCAUGUUUCAGCCGAAACCAAGAGCUCAGUUUCAGAUCCUCCUUCGCAAAUGAUACGAGAAUUAAACUUGUCAGGCUGCGGUAUUACCGAAUUUCCAGAGAUCAUAAGAACCCUGCAGUCUAUGGAGAGACUAGACAUUUCCGACAACAAAAUCAAAGGUCAAGUGCCUGGCUGGUUAUGGACUCCACCAAAUCUGACGUACGUGAAUCUUUCCAACAACACUUUCGUCAGUUUCGGAAGACCAACGAAACAUGGACUAUCCUCUGGCUUGUGGUACUUGUCUGGCUCCAGAAACAAUUUCACGGGAAAGAUUCCCUCCUUCAUAUGUGCGUUGGGCUCUCUAAGCGUUCUCGAUUUAUCUGAAAACAACUUCACGGGAAAGAUUCCCUCCUUCAUAUGCGCGUUGGGCUCUCUAAGCGUUCUCGAUUUAUCUGAAAACAACUUCAAUGGUUCAAUCCCUCUUUGUAUGGAGAAUCUCAAGAGUAAUCUUUCGGUUCUAAACCUCCGUCAGAAUCAUCUUAGCGGAGGCCUUCCGGAGAAUGUAUUUGAAAGUCUAAGGUCCCUUGACGUUGGUCAUAACCAACUGGUGGGAAAGCUUCAAAGAUCUUUGAUCCAUUUCUCUGCCCUUGAAGUUCUAAAUCUGGAAAGCAACAGAUUCAACGACACCUUUCCGUUUUGGUUGAGUUCUCUACAAAACCUGCAAGUUCUUGUCUUACGCUCCAAUGCAUUCCAUGGACCGAUUCAUCGAGCCUCCUUCCUUCAGCUGAAAAUCAUGGACAUCUCGCAUAAUCACUUCAACGGAGUUUUACCGUCGGAUUACUUUGUGAACUGGAGUAAAAUGUCAUCACUUGGGACAGAAAAAGAUCGGUCGGAUGUAAACUACAUGGGAGAAGGUACCUAUUACGAAGAUUCAAUGGUUUUGAUGAAUAAAGGCUUAGAGAUGGAGCUGGUACGUAUAUUAAAAAUCUUCACAGCACUCGACUUCUCCGGAAAUAGAUUUGAAGGAGAGAUUCCAAGGUCCAUCGGCCUAUUGAGAGAGCUUCACGUGCUCAACUUGUCAAACAAUGCUUUCACUGGCCACAUUCCAUCAUCUAUGGGGAACCUGACAGCUCUCGAGUCACUUGACGUUUCCCAAAACAAGCUUUCAGGUGAGAUCCCACAAGAGCUAGGGAAUCUCUCGUACCUUUCUUCCAUGAACUUCUCUCAUAACCAGCUUGUCGGUCUAGUACCUGGAGGCACUCAGUUUCGAACGCAGCCUUGCUCUUCCUUCGAACACAACUCAGGACUUUUUGGCCCUUCUCUUGACGAAGUUUGCAAAGAUAUCCACAAGCCAUCAUCGCAAGAGUAUGAAACACCGGAGGAGGCAGAGGAAGAAGACGAAGAGGUGUUUAGUUGGAUUGCAGCUGCAAUAGGAUUUGGACCUGGCAUUGUAUUAGGAUUGACGAUUGGAUACAUAUUGGCCUUCUACAAACCGAGGUGGUUCACGAGUCCUUUUGGCCGAAACAAACACAGAAGCAGAAGCACCACAGCUCAUUAAGUGAGGUAAUCUUCUGAAUUUCAUAGAUUAUAGACUAUGUAUAGUAUAAUGAAUUUUUCUGGGUUAAUGUAUACUGUAUGUGAAAAUUAACUUUUUACGCCGUUUUUGUUUGUAUAGCGUUCUUAAACCCAAGAUGAAAAAUCUUUGAAAAAGAGAAUGAAGCAACCAGACCAUAGGACUGUAGAGAAAGAAGCUUGGGGAGAAGGCAACCCAUUUUAUCAAAAACUAAAUAUCAGUGAUUGUUUCCGGUUUAGUUUUGUGUGUUUAUCAUAUACUCUGUUUUUAGCCAAUGUUUUUGUUUCUCUGUAAUUGAACAAUGAAAGACUGUUUACAAAGCUCAAACUUAUUCCUAUUUCUCUGUGAUUGGACAUGAUUUGAGAGAGGUUAUAAUGCUCUUGCUCCGACUAAAUCAAUCAUUCUUCUGCCAAAUGAAGAACUAAGAUUCAACACACAUCUCAGAAAAUUGAUCCUUUUUCUCUUUUGGUAAUAUUAAUUAGCUGAGUAAAAUGAUAACUUAAUUAGUUUAUUGAAAGAUAUUUCACUGAGAAAUAUAUUAGUUAGUGGCGAUCAGGAUCAGCGACCAAUUAAAGCUAUAGAUAUAGUUGCUUAAAACCCAAGCUUUGCCAUUACAAUGAGGAAAAAAAAUCAUCUCACAAAUCAUUCCACUUUCCAACUACUGAAACUCUACAAUAGUCAAAUGACUCAAAUCGGAAUAAGAAAGUUAUACAUACACACAUAAUUUAAGGUCACAAUGACAAAAUCGUCGGUCUUACCAAAAAGAGUAUAAGUAUUCAUCAAAAGACAUCUUCUAAAAUGAAUUAUAUUAAAAAAAUUUGGUGAAAACAAACAAGAAAUUUUUACUGCUUAAUUAUUUUUGUUUUUAAAAACCAAAAGGUAAAUGGAAGUCGCUCUAAUUUUUACUUAUAAACCAAAACAAGAAAUUUUCAGUUAUAUCGUUCUAAGAUGAUGCAAUUGAUAGUAUAAUCUAUACGACUCUAUACUCCACUGAUACUUUUUCGUUUUUAAGCAGACAACUUUUCAGAGUACAAAUCUUUUGUUAUUUUUAUUCCUGGGAGAUGUAUAUCCUAUAAACAAAACUGUGUUAAAUGGAAGGACUUCAUGGACACCAAAACCAGAGGAGAAACGAAGACAGACGGUUUAGAAAUAUUUUGAUCACAUCCAAAAAAUAUAAUUCGAUAUUUUUUAUCAGAUUAAAGAAAAAACGUAUCAUUUUGAUCACAUCACAAAGUCAGUGCAAAAUCACAUCCAAAAAACUGUGAUAAUUUUGAUCACAUCACAAAGUCAGUGCAAAAUCAUAUAAAAAAAAUUCGAAUAAAGAAAAAACGUAUCAUGCCAAACGAAACCAAACAAAUAAAUAGAUAACAGUUGACUGACCGAGUCAGUCAUGGACAAAAACGAAGACUUGAAAAGUCAACUCCGGUCUUCUUCCUUAUUGUCCCACCAAUAAUUUACUUUUUUUCCUUCAAUCUCAUCUUCUUCCUCAAUCCUCUGAACAUCGACCACAUAUUUCUUCAUCCAUUGACCUCAAAACUUGACUUUCAUAGUUUCACUAUUGACUCUCUUUCUUUCUCUCUCUCUCUCUAGAUUUUCCAACAAAGCUAUGGAGAAACUCUGUUUUCGAAACUCAUUUUCUCUCUUUAUGACGACUGUGGUCAUUAUUCUUCUUCCUCGUUGCACUCUUUCUGCUACUUCUAUAUAUUCUCAUCGUCCCGAGAAGUUUUACGUCAACUGUGGGUCGGAUUCUAUUGUCACUUAUGGUGGUCGGACCUUCGUCGGAGAUAUGAUCUCCGGUGGCAACUCCGUUUCUUUCAACAGUAAAGGAACUGAAGCCAUCAAUCAAUCAGGAUCAGGAAUCUAUGAAACGGUUAGGAUAUUCAGACGCCCUUCUUCUUACAAGUUCCAACUCGAUUCCAUUGGUCUGCACUUCGUGCGUCUCCAUUUCUCUGCUGUCUCUUCUCGGACAGAGCUUUUAACUGCUCGUUUCACAGUCUCAGCUACUUCUCACUUGAAAAGUUUCUCGCUUCAGAAUUUCAAUGAGACCCCACGAGUUGAGGAGUUUCUCCUGAUGAUUGACUCGCCAGAAUUCGAAAUUCGAUUUGUGCCCGAUCAUUCAUCCAUGGCUUUUGUCAACGCCAUCGAAGUGUUCUCUGCUCCUAAUGACCUAGAAAUUCCGUCAGACUCCGACAAGAAUCUGCAUACGGUUUACAGAUUAAACGUAGGAGGCAAGAAGAUCACACCAGAAAACGACACCUUGGGAAGAACUUGGUCAGUUGACGAGGACUUCCUCUACGAAAAAGAUUCUGCGAGGAACAUUAAUUCAACACAAAAGCCUAACUACGAGUCAGGGACAGCGACGCCAUUCACUGCUCCUGAUUUUGUCUAUCAGACAGCGAAAACGAUGAACCAUAGCUCGAAUGAGGGGAUGGCAGAUGGGAUGUUGAUGAACGUUACUUGGUCAUUUAAGGUCAAUAGCAACUCUAGACACUUACAUCAGGGUUCACUUCUGUGAUAUCAAGAGUGAAUCACAAAAUCCCGACUCCGAU